UACGUAGGGGGCUAGCGUUGUCCGGAAUCAUUGGGCGUAAAGCGCGCGUAGGCGGCCCGUUAAGUCGGAUGUGAAAACCCGUGGCUCAACCACGGGCCUGCAUCCGAUACUGGCGGGCUCGAGGCAGGCAGGGGAGAUCGGAAUUCCUGGUGUAGCGGUGAAAUGCGCAGAUAUCAGGAGGAACACCGGUGGCGAAGGCGGAUCUCUGGGCCUGUCCUGACGCUCAGGCGCGAAAGCUAGGGGAGCAAACAGG
rnacentral:rRNA from 1 species